AUCCAGAUGACGAAUCCCAAAUAGGACGAAAUGUGCACCCUGGAU
rnacentral:hammerhead_ribozyme from 1 species